rnacentral:rRNA from 1 species
CCUAGGGUGGCAGCAGUGGGGAAUAUUGGACAAUGGGCGAAAGCCUGAUCCAGCCAUGCCGCGUGUGUGAAGAAGGCCUUCGGGUUGUAAAGCACUUUCAGUGGGGAAGAAAGCCUUGGGGCUAAUACCCUCGAGGAAGGACAUCACCCACAGAAGAAGCACCGGCUAACUCCGUGCCAGCAGCCGCGGUAAUACGGAGGGUGCGAGCGUUAAUCGGAAUUACUGGGCGUAAAGCGCGCGUAGGCGGUCUGAUAAGCCGGUUGUGAAAGCCCCGGGCUCAACCUGGGAACGGCAUCCGGAACUGUCAGGCUAGAGUGCAGGAGAGGAAGGUAGAAUUCCCGGUGUAGCGGUGAAAUGCGUAGAGAUCGGGAGGAAUACCAGAGGCGAAGGCGGCCUUCUGGACUGACACUGACGCUGAGGUGCGAAAGCGUGGGUAGCAAACAGGAUUAGAUACCCCUGUAGUC